UACGUAGGGUGCGAGCGUUAAUCGGAAUUACUGGGCGUAAAGGGCGCGUAGGCGGCCAACUGAGUCAGACGUGAAAUCCCUCGGCUUAACCGGGGAACUGCGUCUGAUACUGGAUGGCUCGAGUUUGGGAGAGGGAUGCGGAAUUCCAGGUGUAGCGGUGAAAUGCGUAGAUAUCUGGAGGAACACCGGUGGCGAAGGCGGCAUCCUGGACCAACACUGACGCUGAUGAGCGAAAGCCAGGGGAGCAAACGGG
rnacentral:rRNA from 1 species